AUUGAACGCUGGCGGCAGGUCUAACACAUGCAAGUCGAACGAGUGGCGGACGGGUGAGUAAUGUCUGGGAAACUGCCCGAUGGAGGGGGAUAACUACUGGAAACGGUAGCUAAUACCGCAUACCAUCGGAUGUGCCCAGAUGGGAUUAGCUAGUAGGUGGGGUAACGGCUCACCUAGGCGACGAUCCCUAGCUGGUAUGAGAGGAUGACAAGCCACACUGGAACUUAGACACGGUCCAUACUCCUACGGGAGGCAGCAUUGGGGAAUAUUGCACAAUGGGGGCAAGCCUGAUGCAGCCAUGCCGCGUGUAUGAAGAAGGCCUUCGGGUUGUAAAGUACUUUGAGCGAGGAGGCGUUACUCGCAGAAGCAGCACCGGCUAACUCCGUGCCAGCAGCCGCGGUAAUUC
rnacentral:rRNA from 1 species